ACUAACGCAGAUCACUUUGCAGUGGCAGCCCAUCCCCGUUCUUUGCCCCUUCCCUCUCACCAGGCUCCAGCGGCGACGCCGCGACGGCCACCGCCAAGAAUCCCGACCGGCCAAACCCCAGCAGACGCAGCCGACCAACCGCCCUCCUCCGCCGCCGCCCCUGGACCCAGCGCGGCCGCGGCCGCGUUCGGAACCAUGCCGAGGCCUCCUCCGCCCGGCCGAGGCCCCCCGGGGGCCAGGCGGCCGAUGCGGGACUUCUUCGCCGCCUGGCUCGGAACCCUCCGCUCGCCGCUCCUCCCGCUGCUCCGCCGCGCGCUCUCGUCCUCCUCCGGCUCCUGGAACGACCCGAUCUCCUCGGCCGCCGCCGCCGUCGAGGCCCACUUCCAGGCGCACUGGUCCGCGCUCGACGCCGCCGCGCGCCAGGACCCCGCGCAGGCCGUCUGCGCCGGGGACUGGCGCUCGCCCCUGGAGCUCCCCUUCCUCUGGCUCGGCGACCUCCACCCCUCCCUCCUCACCUCCCUCCUCCGCUCGCUCUCGCCCUCGCCGCGCCUCCUCGCCGCCGCCGACCGCGUCGACCGCCGGAUCCGGGCCGCCGUCCCCGCCGUCUCCGACCGCCUCCGCCGCGCGCAGGAGGCCUUCACCUCCGCCGAGCUGGCCGGCGCCGCCGACCUGGAGGCUUUCUUGGAGGAGCUCAAGGCCGUCGCCCUCGAGGCCAACCGGCUCCGCCGAGGCGUUCUUACGGAGCUCGUUGCCGCCGCCGGGGGCCAGCAGGCGGCGCUCUUCCUCGAGGCUCUGUCGCGCUUCAUGCUCUCCUUGCACGACCCGGAGGUGCUCCGCCGCUUCGACCAUUGCCGCCCCUCGCCCGGCAUCUUUGGGAAGCACGAGACACGGUAGCAACUGCCGAGGCGCAAGAACUGGCAGUCAGCGAGGCGAGGAGACCAAACCGAGAAGGCAGAUCUCUUUUUUCCUGUUUAGUCAGGUAGCGGCGGCAUUAUGUGGCGGAGGUCGCGUCCAGGCGACUCGAAAACGUUAGCCAGCAUCGAUCCAGGGGUCAAUUGCAUCGGCCGGUGCUCGUGGAUCGGCCGGGGACGCAUCACGAACGUCGCCAGCACUGACGUUCCGGUGUUUAACACCUGUUCAAAUCUACUACGUAAUGCCGUAUCGGUUUAGUUGGAAGCUGAAAAUGAAGAGGGAUUCGCUGUGGCUGCACGUUUUUGUUUAUAAUGACUGGUGGUGUGGUGUUAACAUCUUCGUGAAGUAGUCUAGCCACCGACCGUUACGUGUGUUGUUGUAUUCUAUUGGAGCUAUACGUAUGCAGUAGAAGUUUCUCGUGGUCCGUUUCAGUCAGAGUAUCUACCCCAAAUCUUUGCUGACCAUUCAUGUGCAAUU